AUUGAACGCUGGCGGCAUGCUUUACACAUGCAAGUCGAACGGUAACAGGGUGCUUGCACCGCUGACGAGUGGCGAACGGGUGAGUAAUGCGUCGGAACGUGCCGAGUAGUGGGGGAUAACGCAGCGAAAGUUGUGCUAAUACCGCAUACGUACUGAGGUAGAAAGUGGGGGACCUUCGGGCCUCACGCUAUUCGAGCGGCCGACGUCUGAUUAGCUAGUAGGUGGGGUAAAGGCUCACCUAGGCGACGAUCAGUAGCGGGUCUGAGAGGAUGAUCCGCCACACUGGGACUGAGACACGGCCCAGACUCCUACGGGAGGCAGCAGUGGGGAAUUUUGGACAAUGGGCGAAAGCCUGAUCCAGUCAUGCCGCGUGUCUGAAGAAGGCCUUCGGGUUGUAAAGGACUUUUGUCAGGGAGGAAAUCCCUAGCGUUAAUACCGCUGGGGGAUGACAGUACCUGAAGAAUAAGCACCGGCUAACUACGUGCCAGCCGCCGCCGUAACAC
rnacentral:rRNA from 1 species